GCGGACUAGACCCACCCCCAACCUGUUUGGGCAUUAAUGGGCCAAGUAGGUGCGGGAAGGACAAAUUAGAAACGCGUCAAGGGAUUUCCCUGGCGGUAAAGUGGCUCUGGAGGCUGGAAGUCCAAACUCAAGUUUCCCAUGGAUUCCGUGUCUGGUCCUAGGAGAGACUGGCAUGCCACCCCACACAGGAGCCAUAUAGGAGGAGCACCUGGAGAGCAUUCUCAACGAAGCAGAAGAGUGGGGCCCCCUAGCUCCUCUCCAGGCCUCUGAGCCCCAGGCUCCUAGAAGAAACAGAGACAGCCUCUCCCGGCCGGCUGCAGAACAAGAACUACGCUACCACGCGCACCACAACCAGAGAAGCCCGCGGGCCCCAACGAAGACGUAG